AGUGAACGCUGGCGAUAGGCCUAACACAUGCAAGUCGAACGGCAGCACAGUAAGAGCUUGCUCUUACGGGUGGCGAGUGGCGGACGGGUGAGGAAUACAUCGGAAUCUACUUUUUCGUGGGGGAUAACGCAGGGAAACUUACGCUAAUACCGCAUACGACCUACGGGUGAAAGCAGGGGAUCUUCGGACCUUGCGCGAUUGAAUGAGCCGAUGUCGGAUUAGCUAGUUGGCGGGGUAAAGGCCCACCAAGGCGACGAUCCGUAGCUGGUCUGAGAGGAUGAUCAGCCACACUGGAACUGAGACACGGUCCAGACUCCUACGGGAGGCAGCAGUGGGGAAUAUUGGACAAUGGGCGCAAGCCUGAUCCAGCCAUACCGCGUGGGUGAAGAAGGCCUUCGGGUUGUAAAGCCCUUUUGUUGGGAAAGAAAAGCAGCAGGUUAAUACCCCGCUGUUCUGACGGUACCCAAAGAAUAAGCACCGGCUAACUUCGUG
rnacentral:rRNA from 1 species